CCUACGGGGGGCAGCAGUGAGGAAUAUUGGUCAAUGGGCGCGAGCCUGAACCAGCCAAGUAGCGUGAAGGAUGAAUGCACUGAGGGUUGUAAACUUCUUUUAUCAAGGAAUAAAGUGAGGCACGUGUGCCUUUUUGUAUGUACUUUAUGAAUAAGGAUCGGCUAACUCCGUGCCAGCAGCCGCGGUAAUACGGAGGAUCCGAGCGUUAUCCGGAUUUAUUGGGUUUAAAGGGAGCGUAGAUGGGUUGUUAAGUCAGGUGUGAAAGGUUGGGGCUCAACCGUAAAAUUGCAAUUGAUACUGGCAGUCUUGAGUAUAGUUGAGGUAGGCGGAAUUCGUGGUGUAGCGGUGAAAUGCUUAGAUAUCACGAAGAACUCCGAUUGCGAAGGCAGCUUACUAAACUGCCACUGACAUUGAUGCUCGAAAGUGUGGGUAUCAAACAGGAUUAGAUACCCUAGUAGUC
rnacentral:rRNA from 1 species